rnacentral:rRNA from 1 species
UACAGAGGGUGCAAGCGUUAAUCGGAAUUACUGGGCGUAAAGGGCGCGUAGGUGGAUGAAUAAGUUUGAUGUGAAAUCCCUGGGCUUAACCUAGGACGUGCAUUGAAGACUGUUGAUCUAGAGUACUGUAGAGGGUAGUGGAAUUUCCGGUGUAGCGGUGAAAUGCGUAGAGAUCGGAAGGAACACCAGUGGCGAAGGCGGCUACCUGGACAGAUACUGACACUGAGGCGCGAGAGCGUGGGGAUCAAAC